UAACCCUACGGAGCGUAGCAGUGAGGAAUAUUGGUCAAUGGUCGGGAGACUGAACCAGCCAAGCCGCGUGAGGGAGGAAGGUACAGAGUAUCGUAAACCUCUUUUGUCAGGGAACAAAGGCGGGGACGUGUCCCCGGAUGAGUGUACCUGAAGAAAAAGCGUCGGCUAACUCCGUGCCAGCAGCCGCGGUAAUACGGAGGAUGCGAGCGUUAUCCAGAUUUAUUGGGUUUAAAGGGUGCGCAGGCGGUCUGUUAAGUCAGCGGUCAAAGCCCGGGGCUCAACCCCGGCCCGCCGUUGAAACUGGG
rnacentral:rRNA from 1 species